rfam:Colletotrichum sublineola strain TX430BB Scaffolds1500.1, whole genome shotgun sequence.
GGAUCGAUAGCUCAGUGGUAGAGCGAGAGAUUGCAGUUCCUCAAAACAGCAACCAUCUCUAGGCCCCGCGUUCGAACCGCGGUCGGUCCU